AAAAUUUAGAAAGUUUAUAAAAGUACAGUAAGCUGUUAAUUAUUGAAAAAAGAAUAUUUUAAAUCAUAAACAAUGUGGCCCAGGUGUGGCGUUUAUAAAGUCUACAGUAGUGUACAGUAAUGUCUUAAGGGCUUCACAUUCGUGCACCACUCACUCACUGAUUCACCCAGAGCAACCUCCAGCCCUGCAAGCUCCCUUCAUGGUAACUACAGGUAUACUGUUUUAUCUUUUACAGUUUUCUAUGUUUAGAUGCACAGAUACAAGCACUGUGUUACAAUUGCCCAGGAUCAGGAUUUCUUACUUCAAGUAUAUCUUCAAAGCCAUUAACUCAAAGUUUAAGGAAGAGCCCUGAGAGCAGGACUUGCAAAAACAGCCCAUCAUCUGAAAAUGCCUUACUAGAACAGCACCUGUCUCACAACCAGAAAUAAGAAUGCCGGCCGGGCGCGGUUGCUCACGCCUGUAAUCCCAGCACUUUGGGAGGCCGAGGCAGGCGGAUCACCUGGAGGUCAGGAGUUCGAGACCAGCCUCAACAUGGAGAAACCCCGUCUCUACUAAAAUAGAAAAUUAGCCAGGCAUGGUGGUGCAUGCCUGUAAUCCCAGCUACUCGGGAGGCUGAGGCAGGAGAAUUGCUUGAACCUGGGAGGCGGAGGUUGCGGUGAGUCGAGAUCAUGCCAUUGCACUCCAGCCUGGGCAACAAGAGCUAAACUCUGUCUCAAAAAAAAAAAAAAAAAAAAAGAAUGCCUAUGAAUUAUUCUUCCUCGUGUCAGGGUAACACUACAGAUAGUGAUGAGUGUAAGCAAGCAGCACGAAGACCAAACCUCUUCUCUUCCCACACUUUGCACACUGUGAAGUUGUAGCUGUUAACUUUUAUAAUGUGUUUACCCAGUUCAGCUAAGCUUUUGCAUAGAGGAUCAUCAUUCUGCAUUGUUUCAAAGCUGAAGGCCUGGCUCUAAUUCUGGGGUUGGCAGAAUGUAGCCUAUUCCUGCACCUCAUUUGGAUAAUGCUGGAAGCCAAUCUCAGUGUCUUUCUGAUAGUAUAGUAGUCCAGGCUUCUCAAUUCACACACAAUGCUUAAAACUUGCUUUUGGGUACUAACUGACCAGAUUAGCUACUGUGGUGGCCUCCAGUGAGAAGUUGAACUUUUUUUGCAUAGCCAACCAAAUCUUCUCACAGGCAUUCAGAGUACACACUGCCAUGACAAGACACUUAGGGAGACCCCUUAGUAUCUUCCUCAACAACUUCUUUUUCUCAGUGCUAAGAGAUGUGGAGCCCACAAGCACAAAUAUUAGAGGAAGGGUUCAAAGCAAAUAGGCGCUGCUCCUUUCAUCACCAUCAGUUUUAGAUGCCUAAAACAUGUGCCUAUUGCUAACACUCCUUCAUUCAAAGAGAAAAACAAACUUUCUAUGGGAAGCACCUGAAGAUGACUAAAUGUGCCAGUGAACAGUAAUUUUUCUCAAGAAACAGAAAUGUAAUGAAAAGGUAAUCUCGACCAUACUUUUAUUAAAAAACUGUAUGUGAAGAAACAAUAAAUGGCUUUAGUCAGUUAAUAACAUUAAUCAGAUGCAUCCAGCUACUGUCCUAAGGCAGUGCCAGGCUGGGAGCAGUGACUCAGGCCUAUAAUCCCAGCACGUUGGGAGGCUGAGGCAGGAGAAGCUCUUGAGGCCAGGAGUUUCAGGCCAGCCUGGGCAACAUAGUGAGACUCAGUCUCUACAAAAAAACAAAACAUUAGCUGGACGUGGUUGAGCGCACCUGCAGUCAAUCCCAGCUACUCGAGAGGCUGAUGUGGGAAAAAUCACUUGAGCGCAGGAGUCUGAACUUACGGUGAGCCAUGAUCAAACCACUGCACUACAGCUUGGGGGACACAGUGAGACCCUGUCUCCAAAACAAAAGCUUGUGCCUAAGUGCUCAGUGUGAUAAAGCAAACAAUGUGGACAAUUAAAAUGUGCAAAUAAAUCUCAAACCCUUUUUAUAAUUCACUGGUGCCUCUGAUGGAAGAAGCUUGUAAAAUCAGGAAAUAGGUUGUAAAGGGACUUACUUAUCUGGAUGCUCUGUAUCUAUGCUAAAGAGCAAGGAAAUAGCAAAAGGACAAAUGAAGAGCAGAAAGUCUAGAUAAUUGUGCCUGGACAAUCAAUCUCUGAAUAACCAACAAGUGCCCAAUACUGCUUCUAAUUUCUCAGGAAACAAAAAAAGAACCAAACCUGUACUUCACAAGUUUGGGAAGGGAUCAUCUACCAAUGGUUCCAAAACCUACUAGUGCAUCAGAAUCACUUGGAGAACCUGUUACAAAUGAUAGAUGGCCAGGUAUAGUGACCCAUACCUGUAACCCCAGUACUUUGGGAGGCUGAGGUGGGAGGAUCAUUGGAGCCCAGGAGUUCGAGACCAGCCUGGGCAACAUGCCAAAAACUCAUCUCUACAAAAAAAUACAAAAAUUAGCCAGGUGUGGUAGCAUGUACCUGUAGUCUCAGCUCCUUGGGAAGGUCGCUUGAGCCUGGGAGGUGGAAGCAGUUGUGCCACUGCCCUCCAGCCUGGGAGAUAGAGUGAGACUCUGUCUCAAAAAGUUCUGUUUCUCCUCUCUCACUCUGAUAUGAUAGGGGUCUCCAUUACUAAUAAACAUCCAGAGCCCUAGGUAAUUGUGCUCUGGUUGUCCUGGCCUCAGAGAACUACUGAUCUACCAACACUCCCAUGGUGAGGAAAAUGUGGCUUAAAGAGACAAAAUGAGUGAGUCGAGUGAGCCAUGAUCACACCACUGCACUACAGCCUGGGAGAUAGAGAAAGUCCGUCUCAAAAAAAAAAGUACAGAAGGACGGGUCAAAUCGUCUUCUAUCUCUUCCCGCCCAGUAAAAGAGCAGUUGAUAUUUAAAAGAAAAAAUAUUUUAAAAAUAGAAAUAUAAUAAAAAUUAAAAAACAUAGAAGUGUUUAUUUAAAUUCAGAUAGGUAAAUUUAACAUUACUUGAAGAGAUAUUAACCUAAAAUCCAACUUUUCUUGUGUCCACAAAUUUUAAAAUUAAGGCUUAAAAAAUUAGGUGAGGUUAUUACACUAAGAUGCAUUUACACGCAAGUUUCAUCAGUUGACUCCAUGACUGCUACCCACUGCUUUUGUAAGCACAGAUAGCCACCAACUAUUUUUGUGACUUAUGCUGAAGAAACAUACUUUCUCUCGUUUACCACUUCUCCAGUCUCAAGACCUUAGGUAGUUCUCCUUUUGACUACAGUAUCACCCACUCUAUCCAUGGGGUAUACUCUCCAAGAACCCCACUGCAUAUCUCAAACUGUGGAUAGUACAACAUACGUACCUACACAUACAUACCUAUGCUAAAGUUUAAUUUGUAAAUCAGGCACAGUAAGAGAUUAGGAACAACACUGGUAAAACAGUAAGUUUUUGUCUUUUUCUUUUUUUUUUUUUGAGGCAGAGGAGUCUCACUCUGUUAUCCAGGCUGGAGUGCGGUGGUGCGAUCUCGGCUCACUGCAACCUCCGCCUUGCAGGUUCAAGUGACUCUCCUGCCUCAGGCUCCCAAGUAGUUGGGAUUACAAGUGUGCACCACCAUGCCUGGCUAAUUUUGUAUUUUUAGUAGAGACGGGGUUCACCAUGUUGGCCAGGCUGGUCUCAAACUCCUGACCUCAAGUGAUCCAACUGCCUUGGCCUCCCGAAGUGCUGGGAUUACAGGUGUGAGCCACCAGGCCCGGCCAAGAUUAAGUGUUUUUUAAAAACUGUAUUUACAAAAGUUGUUAUAGAUUGUAAUAAAAGUCACGUGAGGCCAGGCGCAGUGGCCCACGCCUAUAAUCCCAGCACUUUGGGAGGCCGAGACAGGUGGAUCACGUGAGGUCAGGAGUUCAAGACCAGCCUGACCAACACGGAGAAACCCCGUCUCUACUAAAAAUACAAAAUUAGCCGGGCAUGGUGGCACACGCCUGUAAUCCCAGCUACUCGGGAGGCUGAGGCGGGAUAAUUGCUUGAACCCAGGAGACAGAGGUUGCAGUGAGCCGAGAUUGCGCCAUUGCACUCCAGCCUGGGCAACAAGAGCGAAACUCCAUCUCAAAAAAAAAAAAAUUAUGUAACUGUGGUAUCUCACUCUCAAAAUACCUUUUUGCACCAUAGUGUGUGGGUAUGUGAAAUGGCAGAAACCGUGGAUAAGGGGGAUUACUGUACUUUAUUAAGUGUUGCUCCUUUUUAAAAAUGAAUGCUUCUUUAUGAAGAUUUGUAUGCAGGGGAUCUGUUAUCUCAAUGCUUACUAUUGCAUGAAAUCAUACUGUUUUAUAUCACAUGAUAAACACCAAUAGCAGGGGGCGAGUCUUCUAGUACCGACUGAGGAGAUUCCCUAUCAAGAAACUCACAGAAUUUUUUAAGUUUGUGUUAGGUAAACUACAAAUAUCUGAAAGUAUUUCAACUUGUUAGGUUUUACACUCAAAAGGAUAAGAUUCUUUUGUUUCUUCCUGGUUAGGCUUUUUAGAAAUUUCAAAUCCCACAGCCAAGCUUGGACAUAUCUUGCCCAUAUCUAAAUCAAGAGAUUAUAGCUAUUGUUUGGUUUUAGAAACUUUGGUGCUAUCAAGCCUAAGUAUAUGAUUAAAUGAUAUUAAAUGCCAAACAAUAAAAAAUACUUCCCACAGGUAUAUAUAGAGAGAGAGAUUUUAAAAUAAUCAUACACAACUUUUUAAAAGAUUAUAUGGGGAAUACUUACUUAUGUAAUCAACUCUAACUUUAGCCCUUCACAGCUGUAUUAUAACUUUAUUUAACAACUUAGUAAAAGUCAAAAUUGAUGGUUCUUAACAUUGUAUGUUGAGAAUAUAAAGUGCCU
rnacentral:lncRNA from 10 species